rnacentral:rRNA from 1 species
GAUGAACGCUAGCGGCAGGCUUAACACAUGCAAGUCGAGGGGCAGCAUAAUGGAUAGCAAUAUCUAUGGUGGCGACCGGCGCACGGGUGCGUAACGCGUAUGCAACCUACCUUUAACAGGGGGAUAACACUGAGAAAUUGGUACUAAUACCCCAUAAUAUCAUAGAAGGCAUCUUUUAUGGUUGAAAAUUCCGAUGGUUAGAGAUGGGCAUGCGUUGUAUUAGCUAGUUGGUGGGGUAACGGCUCACCAAGGCGACGAUACAUAGGGGGACUGAGAGGUUAACCCCCCACACUGGUACUGAGACACGGACCAGACUGCUACGGGAGGCAGCAGUGAGGAAUAUUGGUCAAUGGACGCAAGUCUGAACCAGCCAUGCCGCGUGCAGGAUGACGGCUCUAUGAGUUGUAAACUGCUUUUGUACGAGGGUAAACGCAGAUACGUGUAUCUGUCUGAAAGUAUCGUACGAAUAAGGAUCGGCUAACUCCGUG